UUUUUUCGGGCGACGGUGGCAUCCGCGACGAGAGGGAGAAAGAUCUGAUUCUUAUGGCAUUGUCAGUAUGAACCAGAGUGACUUGACACAACAGGCCAAACAAGCUGUACAAACAAAAUGGAAACGACACAGGAUGUCUUAUUUAAUGAAAGGGGUUGCAGUCUGCCGUGAAGCUUUCAUCCAUGUAUACGGCAUCAGUAGAACACGCCACCAGUCAUUCAAGGAGAACAGUCUAAUGCCUCCCAUCAAAAAGAGAGCUGGCCCAAGCAAGCACAGGUUACAUCUGAAGCAUGAGGACUUACAGCGAGUUGUGAACUUUAUCAAAACUACACAGAGGAUAUUGUGUUAAUAGUAUUACCAGGAUGCCACGAAGGACACAAACUUUGGUGGAAAGCUGCUGCCAUCUCAUGUGACAAAAGCAGCAAUGUGGAAUCGAUGACACCACUUGCUUCGAUUCUCCGGAGCCUGGUAUUGUUGUCGCCAAGGAGCGUUCGGACUCAGUCGAGACCAGGUUUCAGCUCCUGCGCAAGGCUGACAUCCUUGCUCCCAUAGAUGGUCUGCCUGUACAAGCACCACCUGGACUGGACACAGCUAGACUAACUUAUCUUUAUGAGAAGCUUUGAAGAAUCUCAAAUAUAUUUUGAUUUGUUUAACACUUUUUUGGUUACUACAUUAUUCCAUAUGUGUUAUUUCAUAGUUUUGAUGUCUACACUAUUAU